rnacentral:rRNA from 1 species
GACGAACGCUGGCGGCGUGCUUAACACAUGCAAGUCGAACGGAAAGGCCCUGCUUUUGUGGGGUGCUCGAGUGGCGAACGGGUGAGUAACACGUGAGUAACCUGCCCUUGACUUUGGGAUAACUUCAGGAAACUGGGGCUAAUACCGGAUAGGAGCUCCUGCUGCAUGGUGGGGGUUGGAAAGUUUCGGCGGUUGGGGAUGGACUCGCGGCUUAUCAGCUUGUUGGUGGGGUAGUGGCUUACCAAGGCUUUGACGGGUAGCCGGCCUGAGAGGGUGACCGGCCACAUUGGGACUGAGAUACGGCCCAGACUCCUACGGGAGGCAGCAGUGGGGAAUAUUGCACAAUGGGCGGAAGCCUGAUGCAGCAACGCCGCGUGCGGGAUGACGGCCUUCGGGUUGUAAACCGCUUUCGCCUGUGACGAAGCGUGAGUGACGGUAAUGGGUAAAGAAGCACCGGCUAACUACGUGCCAGCAGCCGCGGUGAUACGUAGGGUGCGAGCGUUGUCCGGAUUUAUUGGGGCGUAAGGGCUCGUAGGUGGUUGAUCGCGUCGGAAGUGUAAUCUUGGGGCUUAACCCUGAGCGUGCUUUCGAUACGGGUUGACUUGAGGAAGGUAGGGGAGAAUGGAAUUCCUGGUGGAGCGGUGGAAUGCGCAGAUAUCAGGAGGAACACCAGUGGCGAAGGCGGUUCUCUGGGCCUUUCCUGACGCUGAGGAGCGAAAGCGUGGGGAGCGAACAGGCUUAGAUACCCUGGUAGUCCACGCUGUAAACGGUGGGUACUAGGUGUGGGGUCCAUUCCACGGGUUCCGUGCCGUAGCUAACGCUUUAAGUACCCCGCCUGGGGAGUACGGCCGCAAGGCUAAAACUCAAAGGAAUUGACGGGGCCCCGCACAAGCGGCGGAGCAUGCGGAUUAAUUCGAUGCAACGCGUAGAACCUUACCUGGGUUUGACAUGGAUCGGGAGCGCUCAGAGAUGGGUGUGCCUCUUUUGGGGUCGGUUCACAGGUGGUGCAUGGCUGUCGUCAGCUCGUGUCGUGAGAUGUUGGGUUAAGUCCCGCAACGAGCGCAACCCUUGUUCACUGUUGCCAGCACGUUAUGGUGGGGACUCAGUGGAGACCGCCGGGGUCAACUCGGAGGAAGGUGGGGAUGACGUCAAGUCAUCAUGCCCCUUAUGUCCAGGGCUUCACGCAUGCUACAAUGGCUGGUAUAGAGAGUGGCGAGCCUGUGAGGGUGAGCGAAUCUCGGAAAGCCGGUCUCAGUUCGGAUUGGGGUCUGCAACUCGACCUCAUGAAGUCGGAGUCGCUAGUAAUCGCAGAUCAGCAACGCUGCGGUGAAUACGUUCCCGGGGCU